rnacentral:rRNA from 1 species
GACGAACGCUGGCGGCGUGCUUAACACAUGCAAGUCGAACGAAGUGGCGAACGGGUGAGUAACGCGUAAUCAACCUGCCCUUCAGAGGGGGACAACAGUUGGAAACGACUGCUAAUACCGCAUACUGAAGGAGGGGAUUGCGUCUGAUUAGCUGGUUGGAGGGGUAACGGCCCACCAAGGCGAUGAUCAGUAGGCGGUCUGAGAGGGUGAACGGCCACAACGGGACUGGGACACGGGCCAGACGCCUACGGGAGGGAGCAGGGGGGAAACUUCGGCAAUGGAGGAAAGUCUGAAGGAGCAACGGCGCGGGAGUGAUGACGGCCUUCGGGUUGUAAAGCUCUGUUAAGCGGGAAGCGGUACCGGAAGAGAAAGCCACGGCUAACUACGUGCCAGCAGCCGCGGUAAUUC